rnacentral:rRNA from 1 species
UACGUAGGGUGCGAGCGUUAAUCGGAAUUACUGGGCGUAAAGCGUGCGCAGGCGGUUCGUUGUGUCGGCGGUGAAAGCCCCGGGCUUAACCUGGGAAUGGCCGUUGAAACUGGCGAACUGGAGUGUGGCAGAGGGGGGUGGAAUUCCGCGUGUAGCAGUGAAAUGCGUAGAGAUGCGGAGGAACACCGAUGGCGAAGGCAGCCCCCUGGGCUAACACUGACGCUCAGGCGCGAAAGCGUGGGGAGCAAACAGG